rnacentral:rRNA from 4 species
UUGACCUCGGAUCANGUAGGAAUACCCGCUGAACUUAA